rnacentral:rRNA from 1 species
CCUAACACAUGCAAGUGGAACGGUAACAGGGAUUGCUUGCAAUCCGCUGACGAGUGGCGCACGGGUGCGUAACGCGUAUAGAACCUACCCUUUACAGGGGGAUAGCCCGGAGAAAUUCGGAUUAAUACCCCAUGGUAAUACUUUGAGGCAUCUUGAAGUAUUUAAAGUUUCGGCGGUAAAGGAUGGCUAUGCGUCUUAUUAGUUAGUAGGUGAGGUAACGGCUCACCUAGACAGCGAUAAGUAGGGGCCCUGAGAGGGGGAUCCCCCACACUGGUACUGUGACACGGACCAGACUCCUACGGGAGGCAGCAGUGAGGAAUAUUGGACAAUGGUCGAGAGACUGAUCCAGCCAUGCCGCGUGCAGGAAGACGGCCCUACGGGUUGUAAACUGCUUUUUUACGGGAAGAAUAAUGCCCACGUGUGGGCAGAUGACGGUACCGUAGGAAUAAGGACCGGCUAACUCCGUGCCAGCAGCCGCGGUAAUACGGAGGGUCCGAGCGUUAUCCGGAAUUAUUGGGUUUAAAGGGUCCGCAGGCGGGUCAGUAAGUCAGGGGUGAAAGUUUGCGGCUUAACCGUAAAAUUGCCUUUGAUACUGCUGGUCUUGAGUUGCGGUGAAGUGGCUGGAAUAUGUGGUGUAGCGGUGAAAUGCAUAGAUAUCACAUAGAACACCGAUUGCGAAGGCAGGUCACUAACCGCCGACUGACGCUGAUGGACGAAAGCGUGGGGAGCGAACGGGAUUAGAUACCCCGGUAGUCCACGCCGUAACGAUGGACACUAGCUGUCGGGCCGAUUUAGGUUCGGUGGCCAAGCGAAAGUGA